GGGCGUGCAGUGGAUUCGACGUGGAAGGACGCUAUUGCGUUGCAGGUCGUGUCGCCCAAACACGUAAAUACUGGGCAAGCACAAUAAGUGCCAAUAACAACACUCCAGCUCUCGCUUACGCCGCCUAAUUUCGGCGUAGCCAGAGUGCUAGGUCAGAGAAGUACCUAGCCGUCCGUCCCAUCCGUCGUCAUCCGGAUGGCUUGGCGGGCGACACCAAAGAUGACGUAGGCGAGGUUCACGCCGAUAAAACCAUCGCCGAAACUCUUAUCGGCUAGUCAACAGUGUACCGUGCUGUUUCGGGCUACUGUUGGCGAAAACAAAAAAACAGCUAAACCUGUAGAAGCGUAAUAGCCAGCUCUGCGGACGCCGGUUCGAUUCCGGCCACGUCCACUU
rnacentral:tmRNA from 1 species